rnacentral:lncRNA from 1 species
UUGGGUCCAUAGGUACUUUUUGUUUCUGUUGAGAUUUAUAAGCUAGCAUGUUCAGUUAUUGUUAUUAUCACAUGAUUUUAUUUUAUAGACGUUUAAGAUAUGGGUUAUAUUUAGUAAAAUUAAUUUAUUAAAUUAUAAGUGUUUGAUAAAAUUAAUUGUUAAAAGACAUUUGAUACUCGAAUGAUGAUGUCUUAAAAAGAGACUUUUUCAUUCUUCCAAAUCUCUUCUAAUCUAUUGAACCUUGCUAACUUGAAAGUUUGCAACUUGAUCACAUUUCAACUUGAUCACAUUUCCUAGGUAGACCAAAUUAUGUAUGAUUAUUUGAUUUAGUCUAUUUCUAUGGGUGGUGUUAAGAAUGCAAUGUUUAUUGAGUUAUUACAAAGCUCCUAGGGUGGAUGGCUUU